rnacentral:rRNA from 1 species
UACGUAGGGGGCAAGCGUUGUCCGGAAUCAUUGGGCGUAAAGAGCGUGUAGGCGGCUCGGUAAGUCCGCUGUGAAAGUCCAGGGCUCAACCCUGGAAUGCCGGUGGAAACUGUCGAGCUAGAGUCCGGAAGAGGCGAGUGGAAUUCCUGGUGUAGCGGUGAAAUGCGCAGAUAUCAGGAGGAACACCAAUUGCGAGGGCAGCUCGCUGGGACGUUACUGACGCUGAGACGCGAAAGCGUGGGGAGCAAACAGG